GAGUUUGAUCAUGGCUCAGGAUGAACGCUAGCGGCAGGCCUUAUACAUGCAAGUCGAACGGUAACAUUGGUGCUUGCACCAGAUGACGAGUGGCGCACGGGUGCGUAACGCGUAUGCAACCUACCUUUUACUAGAGUAUAGCCCAGAGAAAUUUGGAUUAAUCCUCUAUAAUAUCUUUUAAUUUCAUGAUUAAUUGAUUAAAGUUUUAACGGUAAAAGAUGGGCAUGCGUCCUAUUAGUUUGUAGGUGAGGUAACGGCUCACCUAGACUACGAUAGGUAGGGGCCCUGAGAGGGGGAUCCCCCACACUGGUACUGAGACACGGACCAGACUCCUACGGGAGGCAGCAGUAAGGAAUAUUGGACAAUGGACGAAAGUCUGAUCCAGCCAUGCCGCGUGCAGGAUGAAAGCCCUAUGGGUUGUAAACUGCUUUUAUACAGGAAGAAACACUCCGACUUGUCGGAGCUUGACGGUACUGUAAGAAUAAGGAUCGGCUAACUCCGUGCCAGCAGCCGCGGUAAUACGGAGGAUCCAAGCGUUAUCCGGAAUCAUUGGGUUUAAAGGGUCCGCAGGCGGUCUUUUAAGUCAGAGGUGAAAGCCUACAGCUCAACUGUAGAACGGCCUUUGAUACUGAAAGACUUGAGUUAUUGUGAAGUGGUUAGAAUGUGUGGUGUAGCGGUGAAAUGCAUAGAUAUCACACAGAAUACCGAUUGCGAAGGCAGAUCACUAACAAUAUACUGACGCUCAUGGACGAAAGCGUGGGGAGCGAACAGGAUUAGAUACCCUGGUAGUCCACGCCGUAAACGAUGGAUACUAGCUGUUCGUCUAACAUUGGUUAGAUGAGUGGCUAAGCGAAAGUGAUAAGUAUCCCACCUGGGGAGUACGGUCGCAAGACUGAAACUCAAAGGGAUUUGACGGGGGCCCGCACAAGCGGUGGAGCAUGGUGGUUUAAUUCGAUGAUACGCGAGGAACCUUACCAGGGCUUAAAUGUAGUGGGGACAGUCUAGAAGNAUAGACCCUUCUUCGGACUCAUUACNNNGCUGCAUGGNNGUCGUCAGCUCNNNGCCCGUGGAGGGUGUUCAGGGUUAAGUUCUUAUNAACGANGCGC
rnacentral:rRNA from 1 species